GACGAACGCUGGCGGCGUGCCUAACACAUGCAAGUUGAGCGACGAACCAGGGCUUGCCCUGGGGCAAAGCAGUGAACGGGUGAGUAACACGUGGGUAACCUACCCCGAUAACUGGGACAACCCGAGGAAACUCGGGCUAAUACCGGAUGUGCUCACUGGACUUCGGUUCAGUGCGUAAAGGAAGCUUCGGCCUCCGUAUCGGGAGGGGCCCGCGGCCCAUUAGUUUGUUGGUGAGGUAACGGCUCACCAAGACCGCGAUGGGUAGCUGGUCUGAGAGGACGAUCAGCCACACUGGGACUGAGACACGGCCCAGACUCCUACGGGAGGCAGCAGUGGGGAAUCUUGCGCAAUGCGGGAAAGCGUGACGCAGCAACGCCGAGUGGGGGAAGAAGGCCUUCGGGUUGUAAACCCCUUUCAGGAGGGACGAAGGUUCGGCGGUGAAUAGCCGUCCGGACUGACGGUACCUCCAAAAGAAGCACCGGCUAACUACGUG
rnacentral:rRNA from 1 species